UCAUUCUGGUGUGUAGUUGUUGUUUGGUCUCUCCUACGUAUUUUCCAUCAGGGCAUUUGGUGCAUUGGAUAAGAUACAUUACAUUUCUGGAGAUGCAGCUGUAAGAUCCAGGAAUGCUGAUGGCUCUGUUGUGCGGUGUAGUAAUUGUAGGGGUGUUGGCAGGUUUUGCAUUUCUUGUCGUGGCACAGUCUGGAUCCUUUUGGUGUGUUCUGGGCUUGAGGAAGUUUGCUUCUGGUGAUGAGGUUGGCGAGGUUUGGUGCUUGUUUGAAGGCUAGGAUGGGUGGCUCUGGAAAGAUCUUUUUAAGAAUAGGGUCUCUUUCUAGUAUGGGUUGCAAUUGUUUGAGGAUUUUCCAUGCAGGUUCAAGGGAGGGGUGAUAUGUCAUAACCAGCGGUGUGUGAUUUGUGGGGGUGUCACAGAGCACGGAGGUGCCCUGCUCCCAAAGAGGGGGAAAACUGCUAGGGAGGAAGCCCUAGCAGGAAAUAAGAAGCCCAGCUGUGGGUUGCCUGGGCAACCAGGGAAGGUCAGCUGACCAGAACGGGCAGGGCCUGGCUCCCUUAUAAACCCUAGGGGCUGGGGCUAGGGGCAGUUCCCUGCCAGCUACUAAAGAGGAAGGAGCUCUCUGCCCUGGGAGAGAAGGGAAACCUGAUGCAGGAGCUGCAUCUGAGAGUUAAAGGGUCAUUGAUAGACUUGCUGUGUGUGACUGGAAAUCUAUCCUGACGUUAUCUUCAGUGCUUGAGGGAAGCAGGCAUGUAGACUUCAUAAUUUUACAAGAAGGAAGCAAAUUUACCAUCUUGGAACCUGAAAGCUGACACCCUGGCUCCUGCCUAUUGUUCCAGCUACAUCUGCAUGUUCACAGAGCUCAAUGCUGCCUCAAUACAGGAGAAAUUCCUUGCCUAGGAAGGAGAACAUUCCCUCACCCCAUCCUCCUGUGAAAUGCGUAAUUCAACAUCCUGCUUGACACCAGUCAACAUUGAGGUUUAAACACACUAGUGAAGAUGACCUUUCAUAGGCAGAACCAGGAUUUUAAAAAGAGAGUUACGAGAGCACCAACUGGUGCUGCAGGGAUGGCUGCGCUCCCUGCCCUUUCAGAACAGCCAACCAAGCUAUGGGAGCAACAGCUCGGACUUCUAAAAAAAUCCUCCAUUCAGGUCAGAGCAACCCUCAAAGUGAGUCGUGCUGUUAAAAUGAAGACAAAACGGUGAGACCUGGACAUUAGGAUGAGUUAACAGUUCCUCCAGCUCUGUGCUUUCUGUUCCCUACUUGACAGAAAUACAAAGCAACAAAGCUAGCCUUCUGCCAGCAUUUCUCCUUCUGUUGUAGGGGAAUUGUAUGGCACAGGUGAAAAAAAUGAUACAUUCACCACUUGGAUGAAGACUUAUAAAAUACUCUAUCUAAAGUACAAUGUAUCUCUUUGCUUUUUUCUGUUUAUUUCUAUUUGCAUGACUCCAAAACUAUUGUUUCUGUAUUUAUAUUUAACACAGUAACAAACCACUCAAUGACUGGUGAAUUUAUUGGAACCUAAAGUGAGCUACUUAUGUUAGCAGAGAAAAUGAAUGGACAGAUACAAAUUAAUAUAAUAAUCCUAAUCUAACUCAAUUUCCCAAAUGUUUAAUUUCUACAUAGGCAGGUUUCAUAGGGAGGAGAUGGUAAAAAACUGUUUAUUACUCAUCAAAUGUGUCUUAAUUUUUGGGCCUUCAGCUGACUUUUGGCAGUCCUGCUAUAUCAUCAUCUUGAUCUUAAUUCCAGAAUAACACUUCUCAUGGAUAUAAAUCAUGUAUUUUGAUCCUACUGCUUUACUUCAUUAAAUCCUGUUUCAAAGUUUAGUUUAUUCAUCAGCAUUAUUCAAGAUCUCCUGAUUUAACCCUAUCUCUCUCCUUCUAUCCCUUCUAUCUGCAUUGUCUUCAGUAAGUGUUUGUAUUACUUUUCUCUUUCCAAAUCCCUUUCUUAUGCAUGAUCAGAGAGUAGCAGUACCCUCACCGGAAGUCAAGCUAUGAAGCACUAUAAAAUGCAUCAAAAUACAUUUAUGUUGGAAAUACCAUUUCCCUAGUUCACAAACAGUUCUUUUAAGUAUCCCCAUCUUUGAAAAGAAAAAAGAAAACAGGAAAGUUAAUGUUUUAAAUUUCAGGGGUACAUUGACAGGGUAAACCUUGGUAAAGUCGAGGCUAUGUCUGGGUUGGGUAACAGCAAAGACCUACUGAUACUAGUAUAGCCCUACUUUGGCAAUACACUUGAUAUGCUGAAAAAGGUGACCAGGCUAAGACAAGUGGUUUUGCCCAGGUGAGGGUAUUACUAAGUAAUGAACCACCUGGUGAGUCUAAUUAAGGAUCACUUGGCAAAGAGAAGUUAUAAGAGGAAGGGGUAUUCACUCCUCAUUUGUUGAGAAUGCAGCAGCUGGUUUCAAGGGGUAUUGUAUUAAGAUGUGAAGGACAGGUAUGAGUAGAAGGAUCUCUGAAUGCCCUGGUAGCCUUUGAUCAUGUUGAAAAAUUUUCUUCAGUAGUGAGAAGGCUGAUAUCUGGAAUGCUGAAAGUCGCUUGCCAGAGAGGCAGUAAAAGAAGUUGUAUUAAAUUGUGACCUGUGCUUGCUGCUGAAUGGAAGAUACUUCCUGUUGAGUGAUAAGAAAAAGGACCAUUAAGCAUCAGAUUUGACUCUUCACUUCCAUGCAUCAAUACCUUUUCCCCUGCUAAUCCAGCUGAUUUCCCUUAAGUGAAACCUACUUCUGAUACUGUUGUUUGCAUUCAUGGUGCCUCUAGCUCCAUUGUAUAUCUUGUGGGAAAAAAAACAUCCCAGAAGGGGACUUGUAGCAUGGAAGGUCUGUAAAUGGGGGGAACACAUCAUUCAGAAUGACUACACUCUCUGGACACCACCAUUUGCAAUGUCUGGCAUGUUACAAAUCAGGCCCUUUACUGAUAGGAGGUGUCAGGGAAGGCAUAAAGUACCUACUAGCACUUUGCCUAGCACUGGCCAAUGAUAUUGAUUGCUGGAUACGUUAUUUUAGGAGGCAUAUUUCUCAAUUUUUCAAAAGGUCAUGUAAGUUUUGGACUUAUUUAGCUGAUUUAACCAAAAUUGUUUGACAAAGAAGAAAAGUUAGAUGAAUAUAAUUAAACAAAGACACGCUUCCUUAUCUUUUUUUUUUUUCUUUCAAACACCCCUGUUUAUUUUUGACUAAUGUACUGUCAGUACCAUCUUGCUCAUCUUACUCAAUGCUCCCACUGAGAAUGUGUGCCAGACUGAGCAUUAAAACUAUCUCAAGCUGCUUCGUUGUAGGCAAGAGCCUCUGCCAUGAAAGCUGUAUUUCUUAGGAUAUUUUCUAAUUGGUCCUUUCUCCAGCCAUCUUCUGCUGGCUGCUGUUUGCAGUCACCGGUCUCUCCUCCUAUAUUGACUUCUUUGCUGUUCAUCUUUUCAACCAGGCAUUUUGUUCCAAUAAUGGCUCUACGGGAAACUUCUCUCUUUCAUGCAACAAAUGGUGGUGACUUGCUUGUGGACUCAGCAGGCUAUUUUAAAAGGUCCGAGUGGUUCAGCUGAAGUGCCAUCUUAAAGCACAGAUAAAAAUUAGAAAUAGCAAUGUAUUGGCUGAAGCUGGCCAGAAGCAGACCCUCAAAUUCAAAUUUCUGUGGAUUUAAUCAUGAGUUACGACUUGUCCCUAUAGUUCUGGUAUACUGGAUAGCUCUAUGCCCAGAUGGUUCUCUUCUUCCAGUUCCUGUUUGAAUAUAAUUGAAAUCAUAGGGCAUUUGUACACGUUUGCACCGCAACACUGGGUGCUUUGAAAAGCACCUGGCACUGCAGCACAUGCAGUUAUUUAAGCAGCGAAAUGUGCGUCUGCACUAAGAAAAUGGCUGCAGCGCAUUUCUGAACUAAAACAUCAACAGUUUUUUAGUUCAAAAGCUCACCACUACCAUUUUCUGCACACUGAUGUGCAUUUCACCGCUUAUACAACUGCACGCAAAGCAGUACAGUGUGCAUCAGCUCAUGUGCGGAUCUUCAGCAGGUCACGGGACAAAGAUACGUAUAUAAAUGCCCAUAGUCAGCAUUCACAGUUUCUGCUUCAUCAAAUCUUGAGUACGUUGUUUAGCUCAUGUUUCUUUCAAAUCCCAACCACAUAAUUUUAAACCAACCUUGAAACCAAAUCACUGUUUUCUCUGCUUGUAUCUAAACAAUUCAUAAAAUGUGUGGUAUAACUUUUUUUUAUUUAAAAAAAAAAAAAGCAACAAACCAAAAAUAUCUUCAGUUUUAUAAAUAUAUUGGUAACACAUGGCAACUGCAUGGGAGGAAUAUAGUUUGUGUGAGAUUACACGUUACAAUUAGCUGAUGUUAAGAGCACUUUAAAAUUUGAAUGAUUACAUACUAAGGCUUGUUAACCAGUGCUAAGUGCUCUCUAGGCACCUUCAAGUUACGCCACUUCAGGCGAGGACUGCCUGUGAGCUGUGCUACCUAGCUUGAACUAAAUUAAUUUCUGGGUGUCCACCUAAGAUAAAACCACCAAUUUGCCGUUUCCCAGUAUCCCAGGAGGAACUGCUCCCAAGUGGAUUAGCCAUCAUCCAACAUGUAUGGCCUUGGACUGACAGCUGGGAACA